rnacentral:piRNA from 1 species
GGAGAUCAGAAGUUGGUAUCAGGGGU